rnacentral:rRNA from 1 species
GGUGAACGCUGGCGGCGUGCUUAAGACAUGCAAGUCGAACGCAGUUUUCGGACUGAGUGGCGCACGGGUGAGUAACACGUAACUGACCUACCCCCAAGUCGCGAAUAACCAGCCGAAAGGAUGGCUAAUACGUGAUGUGAUGAUCCGCUGUGGCGGAUCAUUAAAGACUUGAUCGCUUGGGGAUGGGGUUGCGUUCCAUCAGCUAGUUGGUAAGGUAAAGGCUUACCAAGGCAACGACGGAUAGCCGGCCUGAGAGGGUGGCCGGCCACAGGGGCACUGAGACACGGGUCCCACUCCUACGGGAGGCAGCAGUUAGGAAUCUUCCACAAUGGGCGCAAGCCUGAUGGAGCGACGCCGCGUGAGGGAUGAAGGUUCUCGGAUCGUAAACCUCUGAACCAACGACGAAAGACCCGACAGGGAGAUGACGGUAGUUGGGUAAUAGCACCGGCUAACUCCGUGCCAGCAGCCGCAGUAAGAC